UGUACAUAAGACAUAAAAGAAUGAGCUUUAAUGUCCCAUAGACCCUGUGACCCUUAAAUUAGACAUGUACAACAUUUCCAUUAUUUCGAUGGUGAAAAGAGAUUUUGCAUUAGCCUUUGUUUUGUGUCCUCAGUGUGUUGGGCAGGUUUCAGAGUGAGGUCUGGAAGCCGUUGAAUUAAGAGUUUUGCCUGCAGUGUUUUUAUACAGUUCUGAAUCGCUUGUACUGUGUCUGGGGGCAGGCUCUGAUUCCCCUUUAAACUGUAGAAGAGGAUAAUAAGAGAUGAAAUAUAAUACAUGGUCAUUGAAGGCCAAGAUCUGGUCCCCCUUAUGGAAGAGACACGAGUCCUGAAUCUUCCGACAGUCAGAGACACUGGAGAGGAACAGGACGAAUGCACAACAAUUCAUCCUGCUUCUCGACCUCAUCAUCUUCAUCCUCAGUAACUGGAAUCUGCCAGAUAGAGGUUUGAGUUUUAUUUUAAUUAAUAUUUUCAAUAGGAAGUUUAAGAGUAUUUAUGUCCACACUGUAUAUUGAAGAAACUGUGUAUAAAUGUGUAAAACCUUG